GGGAGGACACAUCUCAUCCUUUGACUCUCCGUGCUGAUGGCGAUCAUCUGAGUGGGCGAUCCACUCGCCUAGGGAGCAACAAAGUAUCAUCUGUGGGGAAUAUCCAAGAGCAGCCCCAUGCAACCCUGGACCACUGCAAUGAGUACUGUGUUCCAGUAAGGUUGUUGGGUCCCUUCAACUCAUCUUAAACAUCUGUUUAGUCUCAAGAGUGUGCUGGUCAUUGUCUGGAGCACAAAAGUGACAAAAGGACUUCCAGUCUGAAGGCUACUCUACGUCCUGCAAAAUUCCUUCCUGGGCAGGACUUCCGCAUGGGCAUCUGAGUGCAAUCUGCAGGAUCUGGGUUUGCUAUUAUAAUUUCAACCAGCUGCACCUUACAUGCCCACAACUAAAGUACUUCUAGAUACUACUGAGAAGAAACACCCAUACAUAACCCCCCAAAAGGUCUGUGGGAGGAAUCCCAAGCAGAAGAAUCCCUUACCUCAGCAUUUGCAGAAGAUGAGUCAGCAUGGGGGAAGAGGAGGAGCAACAGGAAGCAACAGGAAGCAGAGUGCAGAGCACCUCAUGAAGUGAUUCCUGCUCCCAGACGGAUAUAAAAUGGAGGGAGAAGCCAAGUGGAGGGAGGCUUGCAGAAGAAGCAGCAAUCCCCGAUCAGGCCUUGGAAGAGAGGCACUAAUAAGCCUCAUCGAUGUUUUGAGGGAGUGCUAUUACCAUCUACUGGUAAAACCCAGUAAGGCAAUGAAGGUAGGCCUGGGGGGAAACCCUCCCCGAAACGCUGGUGAGCUGCUGCCAGUCAGUCUGGGCAAUACUGAGAGAGAUGGGCCAAGGGGGUCUGAUUUGGUGUAAGGCAGAGUCACAUGUUCACUGGUAAUACUAGCUAAGAAAUAAAUGUUUUUCUUCAUGAAAGAGGAAAAUCCCAGCCUUUAGCUUAUGUACUAAGUUAUAUUUGAUCUCACAGAGAAACUUCAUAUGGGGACUCAGGGAAUGCAAUAUAUUUUAUUGGAUCCACUUCAGCUGGUGAGGGAAUGCAGGGUUUUAAUACUCACCUCAUCUGGUUUCAUGUGUAAGAGACUUAUUAUUCUCAUGUAGCUAUACUAUACUAUAUUCUGUGUUCCUGAAAAUAUAUGUCCCGGAGGGUUAAGCAGCUCUUGGGGGUAUAUUUACAAGAGGCACAGUGGGCUUUAGAGGUCAAAAGUUGCCACUCCCCCUUGCACAACAGCACAAUCUUAGUCUGGAUGUCAGCCACUCUUGUACCAGUGCUAGUAUGAAUGUCAGCUGCUGUGUAAUGUAAUACUCUUACAUUGAAAUAUUACAUUCCUGGGAACACCAAAAGUAAUUUGGAAGAGUUGGGCCAGUCAA